UGAAGCUUUCUGAAGUGGUGUGGUGUUAUUCUGGAACAUCUGUGAGAUUGAGACCAAGCAUUUGGUUAGCAAUGUCUCCAGCAAAGCCGUGGACCCUCGUGAAGUUAUGAUGUGAAGAAAGACAUGGAUGGGGAAGGCUCCAGCAUAACCUUCCUUUCCUGGACUCUUGAGAUGUCAGUUGAGGAGGGCCCAUGGCUACUUCUGACAUGGCUACAGCCCUUGGUGAUGGUCAAGCCCCACUUGGGGGGGAAUGUUUCCAGCUGAGGCUCUCGAGCCUGAGCUGAGCCAUAGCCUUGGCCAUGCUAUCCUGGUGCUGCCAGUCUGCUCUUAUCCCACAGCCCUGCCUGUCCAUCCCAGGGCAGCUCUGAACUGCUUCCCUCACUGGGCCUGAUCCACAUCCCAGGCAUAUCUGAGGAGUUCAAUAAGUUCCAAGUUCCUCAGUCUGACCAGUUAACUUGUAUUCUUUGUGCAUCUCCCAGUGUCUGCAUUCUAAAAUCAAGGGAGUGGUGAAUACUAUUUAGUUAUCACUAAAUAGUAUUCACCACUCCCUUGAAUUUAGAAUAUUUGAAGGUCUCUUUCCAGGGGCAUAUUAGUCUUAACGUAAAAGUAAACAUACAAUCAUGACUUAAUGCAAUUUUUCAAUCUUUUUUGAACUAUUUGAACCUAUUUUGCACAUUGUUUAUGAAAUACAUAAAAGCAAAUACUAUAUCUAUUUGUUAUGGCUUGGCUAAGCUCUACAUAUUUAUAUUCUUAUAUAUUUUUCUCUUAAAUACUCUUAUUGUAUCCACUGAUUUUAAAACUCUGCUGGAAUUACAAGCCUUUUUUUAUGACAGGAUACUUACUAUCUCAUGUUUUGCACUGCAGCAUCAACAAUUCUUUGCACAUUUCUUAUAGACUUCUGUGUUUAAUAUCAACAAUGUUACAUAAGGAAAAAAUCACUCCCCAUGCUUUGACUCAGUGUGUAAUUCUAUUAAAAAUUCAAAGUGGGCUGGAAUGUACUUCUGUCAUCACUCUGCUACAAUGAUAAACUAAUGAUUUCCUCCACCAUCACAACAGUGUGUGAAAGCUGGCCUAAAUCUAUGGAAGAGAUUUGGGUGAUAAUUAUUUGCAAUUCUCCAUGAAAAAUAUAAUUUUAUAUCAAAGUGAA